AUCCUUAGGGUGCAAGCGUUAAUCGGAAUUACUGGGCGUAAAGCGCUCGUAGGCGGCUUGUAAAGUCGGAUGUGAAAUCCCCGGGCUCAACCUGGGAACUGCAUUCGAUACUGGCAAGCUAGAGUAUAGUAGAGGCAAGUGGAAUUUCGGGUGUAGCGGUGAAAUGCGUAGAUAUCCGAAGGAACAUCAGUGGCGAAGGCGACUUGCUGGACUAAUACUGACGCUGAGGAGCGAAAGCGUGGGGAGCAAACGGGAUUAGAAACCCCAGUAGUCC
rnacentral:rRNA from 1 species